CGGCCUCUCUCCUUCCUCGGGGUCUCAUGCGAAAAUCUCAUUUUUUUCUUCGUCCUCCAAGCUCGAUCUGUCCAUCUUCUCUGCCAAAAUAUAAUAGUUUUUGUUCGUUUGAUUCGAGAGUGUUCGAUUUCCUCGUUUGAUUCCUCCGUAGAGGAUGUUGAACGUUCGUUUGAUUCGAGAUCGAACGAGUGUGAGCGUUUGAUUCCCAUGUGUGUGAUUGAUUAUAAUCAAGUUCCGACUGUGCUUCGGUAAAAAUCGAGGAGAUUAAAGGCUUCAUCCAUGGCUCUGAAGAAGUAGAGAGCAUACCAGAUACUGCUGUUCCCUCCAUUGUCGACAACGCUGUGGCCGAAUCUUCAGGUGGUGGCAAUAAAAGCUUUUCACUUGUAUGGACAAUGCCAGUGGAGGGUUCUUCGAGUAGUGAUAUGGCUGAAUCAUCAUCGAAGCCUUAGAGGUUAGAUAAAUCAAAGACUGAGAGUCAGCAGAAAGCUACUCCCACUCUUGCCGAGGAUGCCGCCAAGAUUUUCGAUGAUAGAAUCUCUGCAGGGAAGAAGAGAAUUUGCUAGCACACUGUGGUUUUUAGAAAUGAUGUGAACUCAAGUGUUGGUUCUUGUGGAGCAGCCUGAGAGACUCUUCUAUAGGAAACAUCUAGGUGUCUGGAGUGAGGCUUUGGCUGCAACCAGGCCUAGAGGUGAUUCAGAGGUUUCUGAUUUGGAGAUAGAGCGUGACUUACUAACCAGUCCUAAAGACGAUCUUGAAUUCUCCAUUGUGAGAAAGCUUGCAAGAGUACAGCAUCUAUAUUUGAUGUGUCUAGGUUUUUGGUACUUAUUUAUAUAUUUUUUAUUAUAUUUUUCUCGAUUAUUUGUAGUUUUUCGUUCGUGUUUCAGGUAUAUAGGUGAUUAAGCGCAUUAGGAACCAUUGGCAUGUGCAUAUUUGAAUUUCAAGGGAUUUUCAUAUUCAUCUGGAGAGAUUAAAGCGCAGAACGAACAACGGAUCAAGACACGAAGAAAAGGAAGAGAAAAGAACCCAUCGAUCGAUGAGUUUAUAGGCAAAAACCCAUUGAUCGAUGGGUGAUCAGAAAUUUUUAAUGCAUCGAUCGAUGCGUUAAAGCCCAUAAACGCAUCGAUCGAUGCAUCCUCGCUGUGUACAACUUCACCUACUUCCUCCACUUCACCUACUGCAUCCACUCGUCUUUCAUGAUGAAAUUAGAGCCUUAGUCUAAAAAGGAGGGUCAUUGGCUGAUUAUAAAUAGGGAGGACGAGCUCCAUAAGAGAGGGGAGACACCAUCUACACACCAUCUUAGAGAUCAAAACUUGAGAAAAAAUAGAUUUGUGAGUGUUUUUCUAGUUUGAAGAUUUGUUUGAGUUUGAAGUUUGUAGAAGAAGAAGAGAAUUCUUUUCUUCCCAGAGAAGCUUCUAAACCCUCUUGUUUUCUUUAUUUUCUUUAAUAAUGUCAAUUAUGUAUUCUG